UCCUGGCAGAGACUCAGUACUUCCACUCUCUGAAUGCAUUUCUUCUUCCUAGGCACACCAGAAGACUACAUUUCCUAGCCCCCCACCCCCUUGCAGUGUCUGGGACCAUGUGACUCCUUAAUUAGGUCACUUCUCUCUCCUGGGAGGCCCUCUCUGCCCUCUCUAAGUCUAACUAGUGGCAAAGGAUCUAAGGGAAGAAACCUGGCAGAGUUACUAGUCCCAAGAAGCCUGGGUCCCUGAAUCACCACAUGGAAGUCUACGCGCCCACCACCUGAAUGGACUAAGGAAGCUGCAGGAUGAAGACAACAGCAUCACAAGGAGGAAGCCAGGAUCCCUGUGUUACCACAAGGAGGAGAGAUGCCUAACCAAGACCGUCUGCAAGGAUUUUGUGUGAGCCAGAAGCAGAGCUGUAUGGUGUUCAGCCACUGAGAUUUGAGGGCUGUUUGUUACAGCAGUUGACCUAUCCUGACUGACACAUCACAUCAUUCCUUUCCCCACCAUGUGUCUAACAUGCUACCAAAUUGAAUUUUAAGUAAAUUAGUACUUAUAAA
rnacentral:lncRNA from 10 species